ACUCCUACGGGAGGCAGCAGUGGGGAAUAUUGCACAAUGGGCGCAAGCCUGAUGCAGCCAUGCCGCGUGUGUGAAGAAGGCCUUCGGGUUGUAAAGCACUUUCUAGUUGUGAGGAAGGUGGUGUCGUUAAUAGCGGCAUCAUUUGACGUUAGCAACAGAAGAAGCACCGGCUAACUCCGUGCCAGCAGCCGCGGUAAUACGGAGGGUGCGAGCGUUAAUCGGAAUUACUGGGCGUAAAGCGCAUGCAGGUGGUUUGUUAAGUCAGAUGUGAAAGCCCGGGGCUCAACCUCGGAACUGCAUUUGAAACUGGCAGACUAGAGUACUGUAGAGGGGGUAGAAUUUCAGGUGUAGCGUGAAAUGCGUAGAGAUCGUGAAGGAAUACCGGUGGCGAAGGCGGCCCCUGGACAGAUACUGACACUCGAGAUGCGAAAGCGUGGGA
rnacentral:rRNA from 1 species